AGACAAUCACACAUACAUCACACACACAUAGUCCCAUGUAGACAGUCAUGCACACAGUUAAAGACAGACAGACAGUCACACACACACACACACACACAUAGGCACAGGCAGUCACACACACACACAGUCACAGGCAGGCAGUGACACACACAGUCACAGGCAGACAGAGACACACACACACACACAGUCUUAGGCAGUCACACACACACACAAUCACA